GGGCGUGUGGCUCAGUUGGUAGAGCGUUCGCUUAGCAUACUUAUAACAUUCUUAUCUUCAGAUUGUCUCUUGUAUGCGAAAGGUCCUGGGUUCGAUUCCCAGCUCGUCCA
rnacentral:tRNA from 1 species